rnacentral:pre_miRNA from 1 species
AGUACAAUUGCUGCUAGGUCAUAUGAUAUGUUUAUUUCAUAAGAAACUUCCAAAAUAUGUUCCAAAGUGAUUGCCUCAUUUUACAGUUCCAACAGCAAU